UACAGAGGUGGCAAGCGUUGUUCGGAAUCACUGGGCGUAAAGGGCGUGUAGGCGGUCCGCUAAGUCUGAUGUGAAAGCCCGGGGCUCACCCCCGGAAGGGCAUUGGAAACUGACGGACUCGAGUCCCGAAGAGGAGGGUGGAAUUCCUGGUGUAGCGGUGAAAUGCGCAGAUAUCAGGAGGAACACCGGUGGCGAAGGCGCUGCUCUGGGCCGGUACUGACGCUGAGGAGCGAAAGCGUGGGUAGCAAACAGG
rnacentral:rRNA from 1 species